UACGUAGGGCGCAAGCGUUGUCCGAAAUUAUUGGGCGUAAAGAGCUCGUAGGCGGUCUGUCGCGUCGGUCGUGAAAACUUGGGGCUUAACCCUGAGCUUGCGGUCGAUACGGGCAUGACUGGAGUUCGGUAGGGGAGACUGGAAUUCCUGGUGUAGCGGUGAAAUGCGCAGAUAUCAGGAGGAACACCGGUGGCGAAGGCGGGUCUCUGGGCCGAUACUGACGCUGAGGAGCGAAAGCGUGGGGAGCGAACAGG
rnacentral:rRNA from 1 species